UAGGGAAUUUUGCGCAAUGGGGGAAACCCUGACGCAGCAACACCGCGUGAACGACGAAGCCCUUCGGGGUGUAAAGUUCUGUCAGUAGGGACGAAUUUUGACGGUACCUACAAAGGAAGCAUCGGCUAACUACGUGCCAGCAGCCGCGGUAAGACGUAGGAUGCAAGCGUUGUCCGGAAUCAUUGGGCGUAAAGCGUUCGUAGGCGGCAUGUCAAGUCUGAUGUUAAAGCCCGGAGCUCAACUCCGGUUCGGCAUUGGAUACUGGCAAGCUAGAGUGCAAUAGAGGUAGGGGGAAUUCCUAGUGUAGCGGUGAAAUGCGUAGAUAUUAGGAGGAACACCGGUGGCGAAAGCGCCCUACUGGGUUGUAACUGACGCUGAGGAACGAAAGCCAGGGUAGCAA
rnacentral:rRNA from 1 species